UAGUGAGUUUGAUCCUGGCUCAGAUUGAACGCUGGCGGCAUGCCUUACACAUGCAAGUCGAACGGAGUACUUCGGUACUUAGUGGCGGACGGGUGAGUAACGCGUGAGAAUCUGCCUUUUGGAUCGGGACAACCACUGGAAACGGUGGCUAAGACCGGAUGUGCCGAAUAGGUGAAAUAUUCAUAGCCAAAAGAGGAGCUCGCGACCGAUUAGCUAGUUGGUGGGGGUAAGAGCCUACCAAGGCUGCGAUCGGUAGCCGGUUUGAGAGGACGACCGGCCACACUGGGACUGAGACACGGCCCAGACUCCUACGGGGAGGCAGCAGUGGGGAAUUUUCCGCAAUGGGGCGAAAGCCUGACGGAGCAAUACCGCGUGAGGGA
rnacentral:rRNA from 1 species